rnacentral:rRNA from 1 species
AGCUCCAAUAGCGUAUAUUAAAGUUGUUGUGGUUAAAAAGCUCGUAGUUGGAUCUCAACAGCCUUGAAGCGGUUAACUUUGUAGUUUUACUGCUUUAUAGGCUGUGCUUUUGCUGGAGGUUUAGGGGUGCUCUUGAUCGAGUGUCUCUGGAUGCCAGCAGGUUUACUUUGAAAAAAUUAGAGUGUUCAAGGCAGGCGCUUCGCCUGAAUAAUGGUGCAUGGAAUAAUGGAAUAGGACCUCGGUUCUAUUUUGUUGGUUUUCGGAAGUUGAGGUAAUGAUUAAGAGGGACGGACGGGGGCAUUCGUAUUACGGUGUUAGAGGUGAAAUUCUUAGAUCGCCGUAAGACGGACUGCUGCGAAAGCGUUUGCCAAGCACGUUUUCAUUAAUCAAGAACGAAAGU